ensembl:lncRNA
AAAUCUAGUCUAGUGGAAGGUGUCCCUGCCCACAGCAGGAGGGUUGGACCUAAACAAUCUUCAAGGUUCUUUUCCACCCUAGCCAUUCUAUGAUUAUCUCUUUUUUAAAGGCCUGCAGAAUGGCAGGCCUUCACUAUGCAGUUUUACUACAACAUGAAAGCAUCAAGUUUAUGUCAGGAUCAGUAUAGAAAUCUGCCCGAGAAAAGCUUUUCCUUGCAGAUUUUUGAAUAACAACCUAGGAUCUAGAUUUUACAAAAUUUUAAUAAGCAGUGGAAAAAUGUAUAUUGAAAUUAAAGAAAUGUUCUAUCUUUUAUAAUUUUAUAGGAAAAUUUAUCCGAUUAUUAUUUAUCUAAUUAUUUAUCUGAGCUAGUGAUUUAGCAUGAAGAGGAACUGAGUGAUUUUUGUUUCAGUAUUUAUGAAAAUUCAUAAUUUUAGCAUCUCAAAUUGAUUGAUUGAUCGGGAGUUACGUAGACAGUGUAAUGCACUGCAGGAAAGAUUCCCGAAUGCUUACCUUCCCUUUCCCAAGCUGGUCUGGGGACAUGAUAUAAAACUAACUCAGAUGUCGGCCACGGUUGUCCGAGGAUCUCAACUUUCAGAUUAAAGUACUGUUAUUGAAAGAGCAAGCUGAUAGCCUGAAGCUAUGCUAUUCUGGGGAAUGAAAGAACUUGCAUUUCAAGCCAACAUCAUUCUGGUCUGAAUUUGUCUUCACUUCCUGGUGUUAUGGGCUUUUCCAUGAGAUAAGAGGCGUCUUCCAGCUCUCUGACAACAGAGGCGCACAGAGGCUUGCACAACAGUUCACUUUUGGAAGACACUGUGUGGGUGCCGGCAUGCUCAGCGCAUCAGUGUCUUCCACAGCACAUUCUGUUUCCCCUGAUCAGGAGCUCCAUUUUGGCAGGCAGAGUCACCACCAUAACCCUUGCUGCUUGUCUUACUGUGCCACGAUGUCCCCUUUCCCAGCACACUCACUGUGAGCAUAAGCAACUAUUGGAGAACAGGGACAGCAUGGACUGACUGCUUGCUAACAGCUGGGAAACGUACAAGACUGCUUCUCAUUUUUAUCUGUUGCACAUCCAUUGCUGGCUGCACUUAUAGGACUGGGAUUGGGAAACCUGAGUAAACAAUGAACAAAACAUCUAUGCCCCGUUUGUCCUGUAUUGUUGGCCAUAGUCUGUCCUGGAUUGUUCUGACUCAGAAGUGCUAUCACAGAAGCACCUCUGAAGAGGCUCAGGAUGGGGACACCAAAUGCAUUCCCCUAUCACAAAGUAGCCAAUCAUAUUGGUACUUGUAGAUGAAACUGCUUGAAACACCCUGAGCCUCCCCCUGUCCUACUCUUUGCUGCCUCAUGUGAGACAUGGGUUGCAGGUCACCCCAGCAGCUGAGCAGGCAGCCCAUAAUUACUCUUCCUCCUGGACAGAAUUGGACCUUGUCUGGGCAGUAUAAAGCCCACGUGAUCAACUGAAGACAGUAGUAAAAUGAAACCAGGUUUGGCAGCAGCUUGAACGCCAACUUGCUGUUACUCAGGCCCCUUGCCAGAGAGCCAGGGGCCUGAGUCUUUGUAAUCUCGUCAUUCCAAAUCUUAAAAUGUUUGUAUGCUCUGGCUCCAUUUUCAGAAUGACAACCAUAAAUUUCACCUACUGCUGUUUCUGCUAUGCCAUUUCAAGUACUGCUUGUGAUAGAAACAGGUACUCUGAGAUAGCUGGAACUUGUCCUGCACAAGCCACGGUUUGAAAGAAAUCUUGAAAGAAAAAAGCAAGGCUUUAAUAUUUCUCAGGUUUCAAAGGGUUGUUUUACCUUUCCUCCUAAGGACAGCAUACAAAGCUAGUUGCUCAUUGUCUUAGGAAAAUACUCAGGACGUGGUGCUGUCUCAUCUUCAGAAAUCUGCAAAAUGAAGUCAUCACUAUUAAGUUCUUGUCUCUGAAUUCCCAAUUAACACCUUAUAAGUGCUUGAAUAUCUGCUUCUCUUAGGGCUUUCAUGUUGGUCACACUUUCAGUGCAUACAUUGGUAUAGAAAGACAUUAUGGGCUGUUAUACUCAUAACUCCUGUAACAUGAGGACGGUUGAACUAGAUGAUCUUGUGGGUCCUUUCCAACCUUGUGAUUCUAUGAUUCUAUGUCUGUUCCAUAAUCUGAAGCAAAAAUAGAACUAUAUGAAGAAUGAAAAAGCUUCCAGAACUUUGAGAUUUCUAGAAUCAUUUUUAUUCCAGUUCAAGAAAACUUUGACAUGAAGAUGCUCUGCAACAUGAAGCAGUAUCUAGUUCCAGAGAGAUCAAUUCUUUCCAUUUCAGUCUUUUUGUUCUUUUUUGUUGUUUUUUUUUUAAAUGUGUCACAUACAUCUAUAUGAAACACAAAAAUCAAAGUAAAACACCAUUUCAAAA